UACGUAGGAGGCGAGCGUUGUCCGGAGUUACUGGGCGUAAAGGGUGCGCAGGCGGCCUACCGCGUGGGAGGUGAAAUCGCUCGGCUCAACCGGGCGGGUGCUUUCCAGACGGGUAGGCUUGAGGGGCGGAGAGGGGCGCGGAAUUCCGGGUGGAGCGGUGAAAUGCGUAGAUAUUGGGAAGAACACCAGUGGCGAAGGCGGCUAACUGGUCCAGCACUGACGCUGAGGUGCGAAAGCGUGGGGAGCAAACAGG
rnacentral:rRNA from 1 species